rfam:Nematostella vectensis strain CH2 x CH6 NEMVEscaffold_1155_Cont35192, whole genome shotgun sequence.
GCCUCGUUAGCGCAGUAGGCCGCGCGUCAGUAUCAUAAUUGAAUGAAGAAAUCUGAAGUCGUGAGUUCGAUCCUCAGACGGGGCA